UACAGAGGGUGCGAGCGUUGUCCGGAAUCACUGGGCGUAAAGGGCGCGUAGGCGGUUGGGUAAGUCCGUGGUGAAAGCUCGUGGCUCAACUACGAGUCGGCCAUGGAUACUCCUUGACUUGAGCACUGUAGAGGCAGAUGGAAUUCCGGGUGUAGCGGUGGAAUGCGUAGAGAUCGGGAGGAACAUCUGUGGCGAAGGCGGCCAUCUGGACCAGCACUGACACUGAGGCACGAAAGCGUGGGGAGCAAACAGG
rnacentral:rRNA from 1 species